rnacentral:rRNA from 1 species
UGCAAGUCGUACGCUUCUUUUUCCACCGGAGCUUGCUCCACCGGAAAAAGAGGAGUGGCGAACGGGUGAGUAACACGUGGGUAACCUGCCCAUCAGAAGGGGAUAACACUUGGAAACAGGUGCUAAUACCGUAUAACAAUCGAAACCGCAUGGUUUUGAUUUGAAAGGCGCUUUCGGGUGUCGCUGAUGGAUGGACCCGCGGUGCAUUAGCUAGUUGGUGAGGUAACGGCUCACCAAGGCCACGAUGCAUAGCCGACCUGAGAGGGUGAUCGGCCACAUUGGGACUGAGACACGGCCCAAACUCCUACGGGAGGCAGCAGUAGGGAAUCUUCGGCAAUGGACGAAAGUCUGACCGAGCAACGCCGCGUGAGUGAAGAAGGUUUUCGGAUCGUAAAACUCUGUUGUUAGAGAAGAACAAGGAUGAGAGUAACUGUUCAUCCCUUGACGGUAUCUAACCAGAAAGCCACGGCUAACUACGUGCCA